rnacentral:misc_RNA from 1 species
UCUCCGUUGGUGAACCAGCGGAGGGAUCAUUACUGAGUGAGGGCCUCCGGUCCGACCUCCAACCCUUUGUGAACCAACACUGUUGCUUCGGGGGCGACCCUGCCUUUCGGGCAGUGCGCCCCCGGAGGCCAUUAAACACUGCAUCAUUGCGUCGGAGUUAAAGUAAAUUAAACAAAACUUUCAACAACGGAUCUCUUGGUUCCAGCAUCGAUGAAGAACGCAGC